CUGGUAAGAUUGAACUUGAGAUAAAGAACAAAUAAUUUUUUUUAGUGUAAGUAUGUCCCACGCAAUAUUUGGGACAUACUUAUACUAAAAAUGAUCAACUAUUUAUCUCAAAUUCGAGUUUACCU
rnacentral:miRNA from 1 species